rnacentral:snRNA from 1 species
GUACUUGCUUCGGCAGCACAUAUACUAAAAUUGGAAUGAUACAGAGAAGAUUAACAUGGCCCCUGCGCAAGGAUGACACGCAAAUUCGUGAAGUGUUCCAUAUUUUU